CUAGCGACUUCUAGAGUUUGUAUCCUGGCUCAGGAUGAACGCUAGCGGCAGGCUUAACACAUGCAAGUCGAGGGGCAGCAUGAACCGACCUUCGGGAAGGUUUGAUGGCGACCGGCGCAAGGGUGCGUAACGCGUGAGCAACUUGCCCGUUUCUGGGGAAUAACCGGUGGAAACGCCGACUAAUACCCCAUAGCAUUGACUUUGGGCAUCCUUAGUCAAUUAAAGAAUUUCGGAAACGGAUAGGCUCGCGUGACAUUAGCUAGAUGGCGGGGUAACGGCCCACCAUGGCGACGAUGUCUAGGGGUUCUGAGAGGAAGGUCCCCCACACUGGAACUGAGACACGGUCCAG
rnacentral:rRNA from 1 species